rnacentral:rRNA from 1 species
UGAGGAAUAUUGGGCAGUGCCCGCAAGGGUGACCCAGCAACGCCGCGUGGAGGAUGAAUGUCGUAAGAUUGUAAACUCCUGUUAGAGGGGAAGAAUAGUACCGGUUGGACCGGUAUAUGACUGUACCCUCAGAGAAAGCCCCGGCUAACUACGUGCCAGCAGCCGCGGUAACACGUAGGGGGCAAGCGUUGUCCGGAUUUACUGGGUGUAAAGGGCGCGCAGGCGGGAUAAAAAGUCAGUGGUGAAAUCCUACAGCUUAACUGUAGAACUGCCUUUGAUACUUUUAUUCUUGAGUUCGGGAGAGAGAGACGGAAUUCCAGGUGUAGUGGUGAAAUACGUAGAUAUCUGGAAGAACACCCGUUGCGAAGGCGGUCUCUUGGUCCGACACUGACGCUGAGGCGCGAAAGCGUGGGGAGCAAACA